rnacentral:rRNA from 1 species
UACGGAGGGGGCUAGCGUUGUUCGGAAUUACUGGGCGUAAAGCGCACGUAGGACGGCUUUGUAAGUUAGAGGUGAAAGCCCGGGGCUCAACUCCGGAAUUGCCUUUAAGACUGCAUCGCUAGAAUUGUGGAGAGGUAAGUGGAAUUCCGAGUGUAGAGGUGAAAUUCGUAGAUAUUCGGAAGAACACCAGUGGCGAAGGCGACUUACUGGACACAUAUUGACGCUGAGGUGCGAAAGCGUGGGGAGCAAACAGG